UAGUCUUCUGUUGUACAAAUUGCUGGCAAUAAUCCUAUCCCGACUUAUGCCUGUCCGAUUUGGUUCAAUGUCACAACGAGCCAGCUCAGGAUGACAGAGAUUAGGGUUACCGAGAUUCGAACACUUAGUGAAGCUUGGUACCCUGAGGAGCGCAUUAAAAAUAAAAAGAUGAAGCAACGAAACA